rnacentral:rRNA from 1 species
CGCUAGCGGCAGGCUUAACACAUGCAAGUCGAGGGGCAGCGGGAUGUAGCAAUACAUUGCCGGCGACCGGCGGAUGGGUGCGUAACGCGUAUGCAACCUACCUUAUACAGGGGAAUAACCUUUCGAAAGGGAGACUAACACCCCAUAGUAUUGAUUUAAGGCAUCUUAGAUUAAUUAAAUAUUUAUAGGUAUAAGAUGGGCAUGCGUAUGAUUAGCUAGUUGGUAAGGUAACGGCUUACCAAGGCGACGAUCAUUAGGGGUUCUGAGAGGAAGGUCCCCCACACUGGUACUGAGACACGGACCAGACUCCUACGGGAGGCAGCAGUGAGGAAUAUUGGUCAAUGGGCGCAAGCCUGAACCAGCCAUGCCGCGUGCAGGAAAAGACGGCCUUAUGGGUUGUAAACUGCUUUUACAUAAGACUAACCGUAUAUUUGCGAAUAUACCUGAAUGUAUUAUGAGAAUAAGGAUCGGCUAACUCCGUGCCAGCAGCCGC